AAACUCCAGACCAGUUGGGAGACUUGAGCAAAGGACUUUGCAGAUUUCAAAAAACCUUUCUUUCUCACAGGUAUAAGACACAAAUUCUAUAUUGUUACGAAGCACUUUUUAUCAAGGGUCAGUUUUUACAUUUUAUAGCUGUGUGCGAAAGGCUUCCAGAUGUGAGAUGCAUCUCUCUUGUGCUCCAGACUGUAUCACAGGCUGCUUUUUACCGAAAGAGGGGAAACUCAUGCCUUUCCUUUUUUAAGAAUGCUUUUUUGUAUUUGUCCAUACGUCACUAUACAUUUGAGCUUUAUAAGCGCCUGGGAGGAACAGUGAGCUUGGUUGAGACAUUUCAUUGCAGUGUUGCUCUGUUCCUAGCUUGGGAAGCUUCCGCUCAGAGGUCCUGGCGCCUCGGCACAGCUGCCACGGGCUCUCCUGGGCUUGCAGUCAAUCACAACCUCAGUGUGACUCCGCAGUGGCCCCUGCAGCCGGGCAAGCAGGAGCAGGUCUCUCUGCAUCUGUUAUUUGAGGAACUCAAGUUUGGUUGCCAGAAAAAUGUGCUUCAUUCCCCCCUGGUUCAUUUUACACACCCUAGGAAACGUUUCCAAGAUCCUGUGAUAGCGAAUGAUCCUUAGAGUAGGUGUGGGGUCUUGUCUCCAACCUGAGCGUUUUCUGAAAGGUUCACUGCUUCAGUAUUUAAUGUUUCGGAAGUAUGUGAGGUUCCAACACUGUUAGCAAAAACCUUAGGAGAAAACUUAAAAAUAUAUGAAUACAUGCUCAAUACACAGCUACAGAGACGCAUUCUGUUGACAAAGGAAACCUUCAAGGCGUGUUUCUUUCUCUCACCACAAUGGAACAUGCAGGACUAAAGCAAUAUAUUUGUGAUUCCCCAUGUAACUCUCCCUGUGCAGUCCUCUGUUGGAAGCUCAGAUGACCGCACGCCCUUCCUCUGUACAUACGCACUUAAGAUCACCCUGCAUGCCCUGCUCCUUCCGCACACGCUGCGUCGUUCUGCUGUGUUAUAUACUAUGUACGUGUCAGAGACCAUUAGCAUUGCAUGCAGGUUUCGUAUUCUUUCUAAGACAAAGAGAAAAGUAAUAAAAUAUAUUUGAAAUGUACCAAAA